UGAAAUCUCAUCUUUAUCUCCGUAGAAUAUCUAACUACUCAAAUUGAUAACCCUGUUGUAUGCCUUCCCUAUAAAUAUAGACAUAUACCUCAUACCUCAAGUUUUUGCAAUCCCUCAAACACUCGUGAAAAACUAGAGAAAAUAGAAAGGCAAUCGCCGAGGUUGGUUCCCAUCUACUUUCGACUUCACCGAAACACCAUCAAACAACCUCGAUCACCACUGUGAAGACAAACCCCUUACAGCAAUCACAACCCUCUACAACUACGACCUUUCGGUUCCCGAAACUGCCAACUAACGAAGAGUACGUAGAAGGCUGAAGGAAGGUUUACUAGUACUUGUGUGCGGUUUGUGAGACUAGGCUUAAUAAGGUAUGCAUGGCACGUCAUGAGCGACCGUUUCACAACAACUAUUCGCAAGUUAUUAAUAACGUAGAUCACCUAACAACAAUCAAUUUGAGUUUUAUUUAAUUAUUUUUGUAAUGACAUUUUGGGUAGUUGGUUUAAGUUAUUUAUUUACGACAAUGUUGGUUAUUUAUCAUGGCUGAAUGGUGGAUGGAUAAUAUAGCCUUACAUUUGGGUUGUAGCCUAA